rnacentral:ncRNA from 1 species
CCUGUUCACGCGGCGCUGCAGUGAUGCGGCGCCGCCACAGGUCGGGAUGUGAUCUCGAAGUUCGGGAUUGAACCAGGAA